GCCGGGCGCGGUGGCUCAAGCCUGUAAUCCCAGCACUUUGGGAGGCCGAGACGGGCGGAUCACGAAGUCAGGAGAUCGAGACCAUCCUGGCUAACACGGUGAAACCCCGUCUCUACUAAAAAUUACAAAAAACUAGCCAGGCGAGGUGGUGGGCGNNNNNNNNNNCGCCCACCACCUCGCCUGGCUAGUUUUUUGUAAUUUUUAGUAGAGACGGGGUUUCACCGUGUUAGCCAGGAUGGUCUCGAUCUCCUGACUUCGUGAUCCGCCCGUCUCGG
rnacentral:SRP_RNA from 1 species